rnacentral:rRNA from 1 species
CAGUAGCCGCGGUAAUACGUAGGGUGCGAGCGUUAAUCGGAAUUACUGGGCGUAAAGCGUGCGCAGGCGGUUUUGUAAGACAGGCGUGAAAUCCCCGGGCUCAACCUGGGAAUGGCGCUUGUGACUGCAAAGCUAGAGUGCGGCAGAGGGGGACGGAAUUCCGCGUGUAGCAGUGAAAUGCGUAGAUAUGCGGAGGAACACCGAUGGCGAAGGCAAUCCCCUGGGCCUGCACUGACGCUCAUGCACGAAAGCGUGGGGAGCAAACAGGAUUAGAUACCCCCGUAGUCCCUGUCUCUUAUAC